rnacentral:snoRNA from 1 species
GGGGUGUGCGCAGAGCAGGGGGUCUGAAGAAUGGCCCCUCUGUCUACAACACACCCAACAGAAAUCUCGAGUUAGUCCUACAGGUGGCAAUAUACUUUGGCCUUCCUGUGACAUAGUACUCGACACAU